rnacentral:rRNA from 1 species
UACGUAGGGCGCAAGCGUUGUCCGGAAUUAUUGGGCGUAAAGAGCUCGUAGGCGGUUUGUCGCGUCUGCUGUGAAAACCUAAGGCUCAACCUUGGGCUUGCAGUGGGUACGGGCAGACUAGAGUGCGGUAGGGGUGACUGGAAUUCCUGGUGUAGCGGUGGAAUGCGCAGAUAUCGGGAGGAACACCAGUGGCGAAGGCGGUUGCCUGGAGCUUUGCUGACGCUGAGGCGCGAAAGCGUGGGGAGCGAUCCGG